rnacentral:miRNA from 1 species
CCCCUGGGGCUGGGCAGGCGGA